AUCUAGAUAUCAACUUGGCUCCCAUACAUUAUCUGUUCUAAAUACUCACUUGAACUGCCAAUAUAGUUGUACAGCAGCAAACACAAAUUUGAAAUGUGUACUAAUUUAGAAAAUUUCUUUUAAAUAUGUAUUGUAAAAUUGUUUUAAAACAUUACUUUUCAUUCCAAUGAUUAUUACAUAUUAUAUGGACUGGAUUUAUAUUGAAUAAAUAAUGAUAGGUAAAGUUUAGCAUCAUUAUUGUUUUGUUAUAUGCGUUUUGAAGAGUUCUUCCUUCCUUACUUUGUUUGACCAUAGCCUGUUCUAUGCAUCACCAUGAAAUGUUGUAUGCUCUCAAGUUUGACUUUUUAUCUUAUUUUAUGUGUGAACGAAACAAAAGUGUGUCAUUAAAACAUUUUUUUUUAAUACUUAUGCUAAUCUUGUUUUUUUUAAACCUAGUUGUUUAAAUGUAUGUAGG